GAUGAAGAACGUAGCGAAAUGCGAUACGUAAUGUGAAUUGCAGAAUUCAGUGAAUCAUCGAAUCUUUGAACGCACAUUGCGCCUGCCAGCACUCUGGCAGGCAUGCCUGUUCGAGCGUCAUUUCAACCAUCAAGCCCUAGGCUUGCGUUGGAGCCCUGCGGCUGCCGCAGGCCCCUAAAAGCAGUGGCGGGCUCGCUAUCACACCGAGUGCAGUAGAUUACUCUUCGCUCAGGGCGUGUGGCGGGUUCCAGCCGUGAAACCCCCUACUUCUCAAGGUUGACCUCGGAUCAGGUAGGAAUACCCGCUGAACUUAAGCAUAUCAAUAAGCGGAGG
rnacentral:misc_RNA from 1 species